CCUUCUGAGAGACGGAUGCAAACAGACCAGACAGAGACAGAGAGAGAGAGAAAGGAGAGACCAGUUAGCAGAGAGUCAGACAGAGACAGAGAGACAGGAAAGACCAGUAAGCAGAGAGAGAGACAGGCAAAGAGUAGAAAGAAGGGAGAGAGACAAACAGAGACAGAGAGAAAGGAGAGACCAGUUAACAGAGAGAGAGACAGGCAGAGACAAGAAAGAAGAGAGAGAUAAACAGACACAGAGAGAAAGGAGAGACCAGUUAACAGAGAGAAAGGAGAGACCAGUUAACAGAGAGAAAGGAGAGAAGUUAGCAGUGACAGACAGACAGAGACAAGAAAGAAGAGAGUGAGAGGAAGAGAGAGACAAGGGGACAGGGAGUUUGAGACACAGAAAGAAACAGUGAUAAAGAAGGAUGAAGGUAGACCUGAGACACACUGACAGGUGAAGAGACGGAGGUGGACGAGAGACAGACUGACAGGUGAAGAGACGGAGGUGGACGUGAGACAGACUGACAGGUAAAGAGACGGAGGUGGACGUGAGACAGACUGACAGGUAAAGAGACGGAGGUGGACGUGAGACAGACUGACAGGUAAAGAGACGGAGGUGGACGUGAGACAGACUGACGGAGGUGGACGUGAGACAGACUGACAGGUAAAGAGACGGAGGUGGACGUGAGACAGACUGACGGAGGUGGACGUGAGACAGACUGACGGAGGUGGACGUGAGACAGACUGACAGGUAAAGAGACGGAGGUGGACGUGAGACAGACUGACGGAGGUGGACGUGAGACAGACUGACGGAGGUGGACGAGAGAGACUGACGGGUAAAGAGACGGAGGUGGACGUGAGACAGACACUGGUCAU
ensembl:lncRNA